UCAAGUUCGUAAAAAAGUACCAUUGUAUGAGUGUAGAAAGGGCUAUGGGCAUUUAGUUGUUUUCACUGGUUAUUUUCAUGCACUUCCUUAGUUUAGCUAUAGGACUCUUAUUUUGACAUCGCUAGUUCAGGAUGUGACAUUACGCAUCCCUCCAUCUUUGUUUUUAGUUCAGAUGCAUUGAUUUUGCCUUACCUAACUUCCGAAAGUUUCCUCCUUUUAUCUUAAGUAAUCCUGUGUUUGUGAGCAUAAAUGACCAAAACCAGCCUAUGAUCACAGGUGAUGCAGUGAUUGGUGAUGGCUAUGGUUUUCUUCCCACUGAACUAAACAUGCUAAAACGGAAAAGAAGACAAGAGGACGUGUCAUCCAUGGCAGUGUGUCAUUCUCCCGCUGAUGGUCCACUUUGCAGAGAAAUAUGAGGGGCUCAUUGUACUGGUUAAUGUCUUCCCAGUGGUGAUGUAGAGCUGAUGUGGAGGCAACAGUGCUGCUUCCUUCGUCCUUCCUUUCUUCAAGACCUGCGUUUUUUGUCUUUUGCCAAACUUUAGGCAGUAUCUUAUACAGUAGAAACUAAGCCUAACACUUGAAGCCCCGUAGGCGUUGCUUGACUGACACCAAUCUGACGAGCUUGCUCAGCCGGUGGAAUCUCUUGUAUACAUGAAUAAGCAAA